CAUAUCAAUAAGCGGAGGAAAAGAAACCAACAGGGAUUGCCUCAGUAGCGGCGAGUGAAGCGGCAAAAGCUCAAAUUUGAAAUCUGGCGUCUUUGGCGUCCGAGUUGUAAUUUGAAGAAGGUAUCUUUGGGCCCGGCUCUUGUCUAUGUUCCUUGGAACAGGACGUCACAGAGGGUGAGAAUCCCGUGCGAUGAGAUGACCCGGGUCUGUGUAAAGUUCCUUCGACGAGUCGAGUUGUUUGGGAAUGCAGCUCUAAGUGGGUGGUAAAUUCCAUCUAAAGCUAAAUAUUGGCGAGAGACCGAUAGCGAACAAGUACAGUGAUGGAAAGAUGAAAAGAACUUUGAAAAGAGAGUGAAAAAGUACGUGAAAUUGUUGAAAGGGAAGGGAGUAAAGAUCAGACUUGGUAUUUUGCAUGCUGCUCUCUCGGGGGCGGCCGCUGCGGUUUACCGGGCCAGCAUCGGUUUGGUUCGCAGGAUAAUGGCGGAGGAAUGUGGCACGGCUUCUGUUUUUUAUAGCCUCUGACGAUACUUCCAG
rnacentral:rRNA from 1 species